rnacentral:rRNA from 1 species
GAUGAACGCUGGCGGCGUGCCUAAUACAUGCAAGUCGAGCGAACAGGCGAGGAGCUUGCUCCUCUGACGUUAGCGGCGGACGGGUGAGUAACACGUGGAUAACCUACCUAUAAGACUGGGAUAACUUCGGGAAACCGGAGCUAAUACCGGAUAAUAUAUUGAACCGCAUGGUUCAAUAGUGAAAGACGGUUUUGCUGUCACUUAUAGAUGGAUCCGCGCCGCAUUAGCUAGUUGGUAAGGUAACGGCUUACCAAGGCAACGAUGCGUAGCCAACCUGAGAGGGUGAUCGGCCACACUGGAACUGAGACACGGCCCAGACUCCUACGGGAGGCAGCAGUAGGGAAUCUUCCGCAAUGGGCGAAAGCCUGACGGAGCAACGCCGCGUGAGUGAUGAAGGUCUUCGGAUCGUAAAACUCUGUUAUUAGGGAAGAACAAAUGUGUAAGUAACUAUGCACGUCUUGACGGUACCUAAUCAGAAAGCCACGGCUAACUACGUG